GAAGGCCCAAACAAGUCGCCACUUGGGGGUUGAGGAAGCUCUGAUUAGCGCUAGAAUCAAUAAACACCUGGAUUGGUGUAGGACCAAUGAAUCCCUCAAGUCACAUAGCACGGCCCUGGGCACGUUUUGUGACGGAAAUGGUGUGAAGAACUAUAGGGUGCUCCGACUGUUCCACGACGGUGGUAGGUAGUGGAAUCUGGUCCUUGGGGACCUAAUUAAGAUCUGGACAAUCAUCAUUCACCAAUAACAUGAGAAUGUGAGAUUGUUUGCACCGAUGACCCAGAUGGUAUUGUUCAUCACAAAUGAAGCAGAGACCUUGCUCUCGACGGUUCCGUAUUUCCGUUUGGGUGAGCUGGAGAAUGGGUUUAGCAAGGUUGGAAUUAUUUGUGGUGGAAGGAGGUCGUGGUUGAAUUGGACGGGUAGAGGGGUUGAGUGAGGGGGAAAAUGGUGGUUUAGAGUAGUAGGUGGAUGAACGGGUGUUCCCGGAACGCACCACGGAUCGGCGUCCUUGUUUUUGCUUGAAGAUAUGAGCCAGUUCAAUGGCGCAUGCAAGGGAGGACGGGCUCAGAGCAACCACAUCAUCAUGUAGCUUGUCCUUGAGGCCCCCUAAGAACGCCCC
rnacentral:lncRNA from 1 species